rnacentral:rRNA from 1 species
UACGUAGGGGGCAAGCGUUGUCCGGAUUUAUUGGGCGUAAAGAGCGUGUAGGCGGCUAGGUAGGUCCGUUGUGAAAACUCGAGGCUCAACCUCGAGACGCCGGUGGAAACCAUCUAGCUAGAGUCCGGAAGAGGAGAGUGGAAUUCCUGGUGUAGCGGUGAAAUGCGCAGAUAUCAGGAGGAACACCGGUGGCGAAGGCGGCAUCCUGGACCAACACUGACACUGAGGAGCGAAAGCCAGGGGAGCAAACGGG